rnacentral:misc_RNA from 1 species
GAUGAAGAACGCAGCGAAAUGCGAUACGUAAUGUGAAUUGCAGAAUUCAGUGAAUCAUCGAAUCUUUGAACGCAUAUUGCGCUCUCUGGUAUUCCGGAGAGCAUGCUUGUUUGAGUAUCAGUAAACACCUCAACUUCCAUAUCUUUUUUGAAAUGGGAGUUGGACUUGAGUGAUCCCAACGCUUUUCCUCACCGAAAAGUGGCGGGUUACUUGAAAUGCAGGUGCAGCUGGACUUUUCUCUGAGCUAUAAGCAUAUCUAUUUAGUCUGCCUAAAAAACAGAUUAUUACCUUUGCUGCAGCUAACAUAAAGGAGAUUAGUUCUUGUGCUGACUGAUGCAGGAUUCACAAAGACAGGCUUCGGCCGACUUUGUAAACUCGAUCUCAAAUCAAGUAAGACUACCCGCUGAACUUAAGCAUAUCAAUAAGCAGAGGA